UACGUAGGGUGCAAGCGUUGUCCGGAAUUAUUGGGCGUAAAGGGCGCGUAGGCGGUGCGGUAAGUCACCUGUGAAAUCCCCGGGCUUAACCUGGGAACUGCAUUUGUGACUGCAUCGCUGGAGUGCGGCAGAGGGGGAUGGAAUUCCGCGUGUAGCAGUGAAAUGCGUAGAUAUGCGGAGGAACACCGAUGGCGAAGGCAAUCCCCUGGGCCUGCACUGACGCUCAUGCACGAAAGCGUGGGGAGCAAACAGG
rnacentral:rRNA from 1 species